rnacentral:rRNA from 1 species
AUUGAACGCUGGCGGCAUGCCUUACACAUGCAAGUCGAACGGCAGCACGGGUGCUUGCACCUGGUGGCGAGUGGCGAACGGGUGAGUAAUACAUCGGAACGUACCUUAUCGUGGGGGAUAACGCAGCGAAAGUUGCGCUAAUACCGCAUACGCCCUGAGGGGGAAAGCGGGGGACCGUAAGGCCUCGCGCGAUUAGAGCGGCCGAUGUCUGAUUAGCUUGUUGGUGAGGUAAAAGCUCACCAAGGCGAUGAUCAGUAGCUGGUCUGAGAGGACGAUCAGCCACACUGGGACUGGGACACGGCCCAGACUCCUACGGGAGGCAGCAGUGGGGAAUUUUGGACAAUGGGGGCAACCCUGAUCCAGCAAUGCCGCGUGAGUGAAGAAGGCCUUCGGGUCGUAAAGCUCUUUUGUCAGGGAAGAAACACCGGCUCUAACACAGUCCGGGAAUGACGGUACCUGAAGAAUAAGCACCGGCUAACUACGUGCCAGCAGCCGCGGUAA